GUGCCUGCCUUUAUACAGUUAGAUACAAAAUUAUCUAUUUUUGAAACCGGAACUAAAGUAGUAGAUCUUUUAGCCCCUUAUCGCCGUGGAGGAAAACAGUACUCAUUAUGGAAUUGAUUAACAAUAUUGCCAAAGCUCACGGAGGCGUAUCUGUAUUUGGCGGAGUCGGUAAAACAGUACGCAU